rnacentral:misc_RNA from 1 species
UCCGGUUUAACACCGGCAGUCUUGCUAGAGUCCUCGCCAUGACGCGUUAGCAACUAACAACAAGGGUUUCGCUCGUUACGGGACUUAACCCAACAUCUCACGACACGAGCUGACGACAGCCAUGCAACACCUGUUCACGUUCCACCCUAAAGGGUGUCAUCUCCCUUUCAGGAGACUAAUCCGUGUAUGUCAAACCCGGGUAAGGUUCUUCGCGUUGCUUCGAAUUAAACCACAUACUCCACCGCUUGUGCGAGCCCCCGUCAAUUCCUUUGAGUUUCAAUCUUGCGACCGUACUCCCCAGGCGGGGUACUUAAAACAUUGGCUCCGGCAGGGACGACGUCGGUGCCGCCUCUACCUAGUACCCAUCGUUUAGGGCCAGGACUA